rnacentral:rRNA from 1 species
UGGGGAAUAUUGCACAAUGGGGGGAACUCUGAUGCAGCGACGCCGCGUGAGUGAUGAAGGAAUUCGUUUCGUAAAACUCUGUUCUAUGGGAAGAAAAGGACUGUACCAUAGGAGAAAGCUCCGGCUAAAUACGUGCCAGCAGCCGCGGUAAUACGUAUGGAGCGAGCGUUGUCCGGAAUUAUUGGGCGUAAAGGGUGCGCAGGCGGCUUUACAAGUUGGAUGUGAAAUAUUGUGGCUCAACCACAAACGUGCAUCCAAAACUGCAAAGCUUGAGUUAAGGAGAGGUAAGUGGAAUUCCUGGUGUAGCUGUGGAAUGCGUAGAUAUCAGGAGGAAUACCUGUGGCGAAGGCGACUUACUGGACUUAAACUGACGCUCAGGCACGAAAGCGUGGGGAGCAAACAGG